rnacentral:rRNA from 1 species
GAUGAACGCUGGCGGCGUGCUUAACACAUGCAAGUCGAACGAAGCAUUUAAGACAGAUUACUUCGGUUUGAAGUCUUUUAUGACUGAGUGGCGGACGGGUGAGUAACGCGUGGGUAACCUGCCUCAUACAGGGGGAUAGCAGCUGGAAACGGCUGGUAAUACCGCAUAAGCGCACAGUACCACAUGGUACAGUGUGAAAAACUCCGGUGGUAUGAGAUGGACCCGCGUCUGAUUAGCUUGUUGGCGGGGUAACGGCCCACCAAGGCGACGAUCAGUAGCCGACCUGAGAGGGUGACCGGCCACAUUGGGACUGAGACACGGCCCAGACUCCUACGGGAGGCAGCAGUGGGGAAUAUUGCACAAUGGAGGAAACUCUGAAGCAGCGACGCCGCGUGAGUGAAGAAGUAGUUCGCUAUGUAAAGCUCUAUCAGCAGGGAAGAUAGUGACGGUACCUGACUAAGAAGCUCCGGCUAAAUACGUG